rnacentral:rRNA from 1 species
AUUGAACGCUGGCGGCAGGCCUAACACAUGCAAGUCGAGCGGAGCGGCGGACGGGUGCGUAAUGCCUAGGAAUCUGCCUGUUCGUGGGGGAUAACGUCCGGAACGGGACGCUAAUACCGCAUCCUAUCAGAUGAGCCUAGGUCGGAGUAGCUAGGUGGUGGGGUAAAGGCCUACCAAGGCCACGAUCCGUAACUGGUCUGAGUGGAGGAUCAGUCACACUGUGACUGAGACACUGGCCAGACUCCUACGGGAGGCAGCAGUGGGGAAUAUUGGACAAUGGGCGAAAGCCUGAUACAGCCAUGCCGCGUGUGUGAAGAAGGUCUUCGGAUUGUAAAGCACUUUAAGUUGGGAGGCGUUACCAACAGAAUAAGCACCGGCUAACUUCGUGCCAGCAGCCGCGGUAAUUC